rnacentral:rRNA from 2 species
CUGGUGUCAGCCGCCGCGGUAAUACCAGCACCCCGAGUGGUCGGGACGAUUAUUGGGCCUAAAGCAUCCGUAGCCGGUCCUGCAAGUCUUCCGUUAAAUCCACCUGCUUAACAGAUGGGCUGCGGAGGAUACUACAGAGCUAGGAGGCGGGAGAGGCAAGCGGUACUCAAUGGGUAGGGGUAAAAUCCGUUGAUCCAUUGAAGACCACCAGUGGCGAAGGCGGCUUGCCAGAACGCGCUCGACGGUGAGGGAUGAAAGCUGGGGGAGCAAACCGGAUUAGAUACCCGGGUAGUCCCAGCUGUAAACGAUGCAGACUCGGUGAUGGGUUGGCCUUGUGCCACCCCAGUGCCGCAGGGAAGCCGUUAAGUCUGCCGCCUGGGGAGUACGGUCGCAAGACUGAAACUUAAAG